CUGGUCCUGGUCUUACAGCGGAGGAGGAGGAGGAACUAGGGAGGCUUCUGCCUGGUCCUGGUCGUACAACGCAGGUUAAGGAGGAGGGGCUAAGGAGGCUUCUACAUGGUCCUGGUUGUACAGCGGAGGGUAAGGAGGAGGAGUAGUGUUCUUAGCCGGUUCUGUCUGUUCUAUGUCAGCCUCAUUGGUCCAUUGGUAGGACUGACAGAUUCUACAGACACUUUUCUGUCGAAUCUGUGUAUCAGUGUUUCAGAACCUGAUAGGGGGAUUAUUCUUCCAACACGUCUCCGGUCCCUCCGUUCGUUGUCCAUUAGAGAACUGUGGUCUUCACUGGAGCGAUGUGGAGAAGAGGCUUGGCAGAGCACCACACUGGGUAGGGUUGAUAUAUCGGGUGGGAAACAUAUGACAUGAGGUAUUAUAGGGGAGGGUUGGAUCAGCCAGCAGGCAAAAGGCUUUGAACGCCAGGCGCAGAUGUUCCCAGAGGAAUGAAACAGUGAAUAUUUGAAAAGAUGGAUAUUUGUUGGAUCAUGAAGAAGCAGCUCUGUGACGUAUCAUGUCAGAGAAAGAGAGGUUGUGUGUGUUGGAUGCCUGAGAGAAAGACUUGUACAUGUGGUAAGGAGGGGGGGGAAAUAAAAAUACAAAAAAUGGCGAUUCAGAGGAGACUGACAUUUCAGCAAUACUGGGAAAUGGACAUGGUUAGGAGAGGAAACGAGAGAAACCUGAGACCUAGAGAAAGAGGGAAGGAGAAGGUUAGAGGCAGAGAGAGAAGGAGAAGGAGAACGUUAGAGGGAGAGAGAGAUGGAGAAGGUUAGAGGGAGAGAGAGAUGGGUAAGGAGAAGGUUAGAGGGAGAGGGAGAGGGAAGGAGAACGUUAGAGGGAGAGAGAGAUAGGUAAGGAGAAGGUUAGAGGGAGAGAGAGAUGGGUAAGGAGAACGUUAGAGGGAGAGGGAGAGGGAGAUGGGUAAGGAGAAGGUUAGAGGGAGAGAGAGAUGGAGAAGGUUAGAGGGAGAGAGAAAUGGGUAAGGAGAACGUUAGAGGGAGAGGGAAGGAGAAGGUUAGAGGCAGAGAGAGAAGGAGAAGGAGAACGUUAGAGGGAGAGAGAGAUGGAGAAGGUUAGAGGGAGAGAGAGAUGGGUAAGGAGAAGGUUAGAGGGAGAGGGAGAGGGAAGGAGAACGUUAGAGGGAGAGAGAGAUAGGUAAGGAGAAGGUUAGAGGGAGAGAGAGAUGGGUAAGGAGAACGUUAGAGGGAGAGGGAGAGGGAGAUGGGUAAGGAGAACGUCAGAGGGAGAGAGAGAUGGAGAAGGUUAGAGGGAGAGAGAAAUGGGUAAGGAGAACGUUAGAGGGAGAGGGAAGGAGAAGGUUAGAGGCAGAGAGAGAAGGAGAAGGAGAACGUUAGAGGGAGAGAGAGAUGGAGAAGGUUAGAGGGAGAGAGAGAUGGGUAAGGAGAAGGUUAGAGGGAGAGGGAGAGGGAAGGAGAACGUUAGAGGGAGAGAGAGAUAGGUAAGGAGAAGGUUAGAGGGAAAGGGAGAGGGAAGGAGAACGUUAGAGGGAGAGAGAGAUGGAGAAGGUUAGAGGGAGAGAGAGAUGGGUAAGGAGAAGGUUAGAGGGAAAGGGAGAGGGAAGGAGAACGUUAGAGGGAGAGAGAGAUAGGUAAGGAGAAGGUUAGAGGGAGAGAGAGAUGGGUAAGGAGAACGUUAGAGGGAGAGGGAGAGGGAGAUGGGUAAGGAGAACGUCAGAGGGAGAGAGAGAUGGAGAAGGUUAGAGGGAGAGAGAAAUGGGUAAGGAGAACGUUAGAGGGAGAGGGAAGGAGAAGUUUAGAGGGAGAGGGAGAUGGGUAAGGAGAACGUUACAGGGAGAGAGAGAUGGAGAAGGUUAGAAUGAGAGAGAGAUGGGUAAGGAGAACGUUAGAGGGAGAGGGAGAAGGAAGGAGAAGGUUAGAGGGAGAGGGAGAGGGAAGGAGAAGGUUAGAGGGAGAGAGAGAUGGAAGGAGAAUGUUAGAGGGAGAGGGAGAGGGAAGGAGAACGUUAGAGGGAGAGGGAGAUGGGGAAGGAGAACGUUAGAGGGAGAGAGAGAUGGAGAAGGUUAGAGGGAGAGAGAGAUGGAGAAGGUUAGAGGCAGAGAGAGAUGGAGAAGGUUAGAGGCAGAGAGAGGGAAGGAGAAGGUUAGAGGCAGAGAGAGAGGGAAGGAGAAGGCCAGAGGCAGAGAGAGGGAAGGAGAUGGUUAGAGGGAGAGAGAGAGGGAAGGAGAAGGUUAGAGGCAGAGAGAGGGAAGGAGAAGGUUAGAGGCAGAGAGAGGGAAGGAGAAGGUUAGAGGCAGAGAGAGGGAAGGAGAAGGUUAGAGGCAGAGAGAGAGGGAAGGAGAAGGUUAGAGGCAGAGAGAGAGGGAAGGAGAAGGUUAGAGGCAGAGAGAGGGAAGGAGAAGGUUAGAGGCAGAGAGAGAGGGAAGGAGAAGGUUAGAGGCAGAGAGAGAGGGGGAAGGAGAAGGUUAGAGGCAGAGAGAGGGAAGGAGAAGGUUAGAGGCAGAGAGAGAUGGGGAAGGAGAAGGUUAUAGGCAGAGAGAGGGAAGGAGAAGGUUAGAGGCAGAGAGAGAGAGGGAAGGAGAAGGUUAGAGGCAGAGAGAGAGGGAGAAGGUUAGAGGGAGAGAGAGUGAGGGAAGGAGAAGGUUAGAGGCAGAGAGAGAGGGAAGGAGAAGGUUAGAGGCAGAGAGAGGGAAGGAGAAGGUUAGAGGCAGAGAGAGAGGGAAGGAGAAGGUUAGAGGGAGAGAGAGAGGGGGAAGGAGAAGGUUAGAGGGGGAAGGAGAAGGUUAGAGGCAGAGAGAGGGAAGGAGAAGGUUAGAGGCAGAGAGAGAGGGAAGGAGAAGGUUAGAGGCAGAGAGAGAUGGAAGGAGAAGGUUAGAGGCAGAGAGAGAGGGAAGGAGAAGGUUAGAGGGAGAGAGAGAUGGGGAAGGAGAACGUUAGAGGGAGAGGGAGAUGGGGAAGGAGAAGGUUAGAGGCAGAGAGAGAGGGAUGGAGAAGGUUAGAGGCAGAGGGAGAUGGGGAAGGAGAAGGUUAGAGGGAGAGAGAGAUGGAGAAGGUUAGAGGGAGAGAGAGAUGGGUAAGGAGAAGGUUAGAGGGAGAUGGAGAUGGAGAAGGUUAGAAGGGGAAAGAGAAGGUUAGAGGGAGAGAGAGGGGGAAGGAGAACGUUAGAGGGAGAGAGAGAGGGAAGGAGAAGGUUAGAGGGAGAGAGAGGGAAGGAGAACGUUAGAGGGAGAGAGAGAUGGAGAAGGUUAGAGGAAGAGGGAGAUGGGUAAGGAGAACGUUAGAGGGAGAGAGAGAGGGAAGGAGAAGGUUAGAGGGAGAGGGAGAUGGAGAAGGUUAGAGGGAGCGAGAGAUGGAGAAGGUUAGAGGGAGAGGGGGAAGGUUAGAGGGAGAGGGAGAUGGGGAAUGAGAAGGUUAGAGGGAGAGAGAGAGGGACAAGGUUAGAGGGAGAGGGAGAUGGAGAAGGUUAGAGGGAGAGGGAGAUGGAGAAGGUUAGAGGGAGCGAGAGAUGGGGAAGGAGAAGGUUAGAGGGAGAGAGAGAUGGAGAAGGUUAGAGGGAGAGGGAGAUGGGGAAGGAGAAGGUUAGAGGGAGAGGGAGAUGGGGAAGGAGAAGGUUAGAGGGAGAGGGAGAUGGGGAAGGAGAAGGUUAGAGGGAGAGAGAGAGAGAGAUGGGGAAGGAGAAGGUUAGAGGGAGAGAGAGAUGGAGAAGGAUGUGAUGGAGUUGUAAGUAGUAUGGACUGGUAAGAGUAGCAGUCUAUUGUGAGGACUGGG